CAGAGCACAGGGUGUCUCUGCCACUUUAAGGGCCUGGAGCUGGCAGCCUCCAGGUGCCUGAUUAGGGCAGCCAUUUUGGGGCUUAUAUAAACCAGGCAGUUUGGCUGCAGGAGGUCAGGCAGCAACAUUGUCUGGCUGUAGGGUUGCAUUGACCCGGAGGUCAGGUACUGGAUGAGAAGGCACCACUGAGGGUCACGCUUCACUUCCUUUUAUCCCUUUAUGGCGGACUUGGGUGAUUCCCCAGCAUCAUCUUGGCUGCCCGAUCCAGAGGUUGCUGUCCCAUACUUUGGGCAGCAAAAUAUAGCUCUUCUAGUCCUGCUUUGAAGCUAUGCAGUGCCUCAACAUUGCUGUACCCAUCUCCUUUCUUUCUUAUAAUGAAGUCAAUGGCAAUAUCAAGGAGAUGUGAGAGACUACAUCUGUAUUUGACACCAGUGUCUAUGAUAAGCCAUUUGUUCAAGCCUGUCUUUGCUUUAAGUGCACAUGCUGCCUUCCAAACAAAACCUUGGUGCUGAA